CACGUAGGGUGCGAGCGUUUGUCCGGAAUUAUUGGGCGUAAAGAGCUCGUAGGCGGUGUGUCGCGUCGGCCGUGAAAACCUGCAGCUUAACUGUGGGCUUGCGGUCGAUACGGGCAUCACUGGAGUUCGGCAGGGGAGACUGGAAUUCCUGGUGUAGCGGUGAAAUGCGCAGAUAUCAGGAGGAACACCGGUGGCGAAGGCGGGUCUCUGGGCCGAUACUGACGUGGAGGAGCGAAAGCGUGGGGAGCGAACAGG
rnacentral:rRNA from 1 species